UAGGGAAUAUUGGUAAUCUGGGAAACCGGGAACCAGCAACGCCGCGUGCGCGAUGAAGGCCUUCGGGUUGUAAAGCGCUUUUUGAGAGGAUGAGGAAGGACAGUACUCUUAGAAUAAGCCUCGGCGAACUACGUGCCAGCAGCCGCGGUAAAACGUAGGAGGCGAGCGUUAUCCGGAUUUACUGGGCGUAAAGCGUGUGUAGGCGGUUUGAUACGUUGGAUGUGAAAGCUCCUGGCUUAACUGGGGGAGGUCGUUAAAAACUAGCAGACGUGAGAGUGGUAGAGGGAGGUGGAAUUCCGCAUGUAGUGGUGAAAUGCGUAGAUAUGCGGAGGAACACCAGCGGCGAAAGCGGCCUCCUGGCCCAUUUCUGACGCUCAGACACGAAAGCUAAGGUAGCAAACG
rnacentral:rRNA from 1 species